UCCAGAUAGAACUGCAUCUUCUAGACAUACUUUUUCUUUUCUUUUCACAUGGUCUGCGCAUCCACGACUAUAAGAAGAGAAGGCGUAAACACAUUUGGAUCUGCACCGUCUCCUCUCAUCUAGCUUCAUUUCCUCUCUGGGUGCUUAUACCUCGAGACAUGGCGGUCCUCCAGGCCAAGAUGCCAGCCUUGUGCUUGCUCUUGCUCAUGGCACUGCUGUUGUUUCCUGGAUCUGAAGGCAAGACUUGCUCGGAGGUCAGCAGGACCUACACUCCUCUCUUAUGUGGGGAUGACACAUGUGCUACUCACUGCCACAAGGAGGGCUUCCCUGGAUCGAAGUGUGUGAUCACCUCCUUCGACCCUCCCUUUUCAAUCUGCCUCUGCAAGAAACCUUGCUAAUGAUGCUUGUGGAGCAGUAAUAUAUCGUUUGUGUGUUUAAUUUACUAUGUAUGCAGACUUUUAUGUUGUAUUUGCUGUGAUGAGCAGAUCAACAUAGAAUUCACACAAGGCAACAUAACAAAGGUGAAAUUGCGAUAGAGUUCGCGGCCCUUUGUGUUCUAUCCUGAUGAGCAGCCACAAAUGCAGAGAUAGAUAUAGCUGUUGUGAUGCGAUUAUAUCUUAUGGAGUGUCUGCAUGUGAAUCUACCUCUAGUGUUUGACAUGGUCAAAUUAUCCGGAUAAUGUGUGUUAGAUGUAUGUUUCUGUAUGAUCGACAAGCUGAAAUGCUCAACGUACACCAUACAUGGUAAUUGCAAAUCA